GACGAACGCUGGCGGCGUGCUUAACACAUGCAAGUCGAACGGAAAGGCCCUGCUUUUGUGGGGUGCUCGAGUGGCGAACGGGUGAGUAACACGUGAGUAACCUGCCCUUGACUUUGGGAUAACUUCAGGAAACUGGGGCUAAUACCGGAUAGGAGCUCCUGCUGCAUGGUGGGGGUUGGAAAGUUUCGGCGGUUGGGGCUGGACUCGCGGCUUAUCAGCUUGUUGGUGGGGUAGUGGCUUACCAAGGCUUUGACGGGUAGCCGGCCUGAGAGGGUGACCGGCCACAUUGGGACUGAGGUACGGCCCAGACUCCUACGGGAGGCAGCAGUGGGGAAUAUUGCACAAUGGGCGGAAGCCUGAUGCAGCCACGCCGCGUGCGGGAUGACGGCCUUCGGGUUGUAAACCGCUUUCGCCUGUGACGAAGCGUGAGUGACGGUAAUGGGUAAAGAAGCACCGGCUAACUACGUG
rnacentral:rRNA from 1 species